rnacentral:rRNA from 1 species
AGAGUUUGAUCCUGGCUCAGGAUGAACGCUGGCGGCGUGCCUAAUACAUGCAAGUCGAGCGAACGGACGAGAAGCUUGCUUCUCUGAUGUUAGCGGCGGACGGGUGAGUAACACGUGGAUAACCUACCUAUAAGACUGGGAUAACUUCGGGAAACCGGAGCUAAUACCGGAUAAUAUUUUGAACCGCAUGGUUCAAAAGUGAAAGACGGUCUUGCUGUCACUUAUAGAUGGAUCCGCGCUGCAUUAGCUAGUUGGUAAGGUAACGGCUUACCAAGGCAACGAUGCAUAGCCGACCUGAGAGGGUGAUCGGCCACACUGGAACUGAGACACGGUCCAGACUCCUACGGGAGGCAGCAGUAGGGAAUCUUCCGCAAUGGGCGAAAGCCUGACGGAGCAACGCCGCGUGAGUGAUGAAGGUCUUCGGAUCGUAAAACUCUGUUAUUAGGGAAGAACAUAUGUGUAAGUAACUGUGCACAUCUUGACGGUACCUAAUCAGAAAGCCACGGCUAACUACGUGCCAGCAGCCGCGGUAAUACGUAGGUGGCAAGCGUUAUCCGGAAUUAUUGGGCGUAAAGCGCGCGUAGGCGGUUUUUUAAGUCUGAUGUGAAAGCCCACGGCUCAACCGUGGAGGGUCAUUGGAAACUGGAAAACUUGAGUGCAGAAGAGGAAAGUGGAAUUCCAUGUGUAGCGGUGAAAUGCGCAGAGAUAUGGAGGAACACCAGUGGCGAAGGCGACUUUCUGGUCUGUAACUGACGCUGAUGUGCGAAAGCGUGGGGAUCAAACAGGAUUAGAUACCCUGGUAGUCCACGCCGUAAACGAUGAGUGCUAAGUGUUAGGGGGUUUCCGCCCCUUAGUGCUGCAGCUAACGCAUUAAGCACUCCGCCUGGGGAGUACGACCGCAAGGUUGAAACUCAAAGGAAUUGACGGGGACCCGCACAAGCGGUGGAGCAUGUGGUUUAAUUCGAAGCAACGCGAAGAACCUUACCAAAUCUUGACAUCCUUUGACAACUCUAGAGAUAGAGCCUUCCCCUUCGGGGGACAAAGUGACAGGUGGUGCAUGGUUGUCGUCAGCUCGUGUCGUGAGAUGUUGGGUUAAGUCCCGCAACGAGCGCAACCCUUAAGCUUAGUUGCCAUCAUUAAGUUGGGCACUCUAAGUUGACUGCCGGUGACAAACCGGAGGAAGGUGGGGAUGACGUCAAAUCAUCAUGCCCCUUAUGAUUUGGGCUACACACGUGCUACAAUGGACAAUACAAAGGGCAGCGAAACCGCGAGGUCAAGCAAAUCCCAUAAAGUUGUUCUCAGUUCGGAUUGUAGUCUGCAACUCGACUACAUGAAGCUGGAAUCGCUAGUAAUCGUAGAUCAGCAUGCUACGGUGAAUACGUUCCCGGGUCUUGUACACACCGCCCGUCACACCACGAGAGUUUGU